AUUGAACGCUGGCGGCAUGCCUUAAACAUGCAAGUCGAACGGUAACGCGGGGCAACCUGGCGACGAGUGGCGAACGGGUGAGUAAUAUAUCGGAACGUGCCCAGUAGUGGGGGAUAGCCCGGCGAAAGCCGGAUUAAUACCGCAUGAGACCUGAGGGUGAAAGCGGGGGAUCGCAAGACCUCGCGCUAUUGGAGCGGCCGAUAUCAGAUUAGCUAGUUGGUGGGGUAAAGGCCUACCAAGGCAACGAUCUGUAGUUGGUCUGAGAGGACGACCAGCCACACUGGGACUGAGACACGGCCCAGACUCCUACGGGAGGCAGCAGUGGGGAAUUUUGGACAAUGGGCGCAAGCCUGAUCCAGCAAUGCCGCGUGCAGGAAGAAGGCCUUCGGGUUGUAAACUGCUUUUGUCAGGGAAGAAAUCUUCUGGGUUAAUACCUCGGGAGGAUGACGGUACCUGAAGAAUAAGCACCGGCUAACUACGUGCCAGCAGCCGCGGUAAUACGUAGGGUGCGAGCGUUAAUCGGAAUUACUGGGCGUAAAGCGUGCGCAGGCGGCUUUGCAAGACAGAUGUGAAAUCCCCGGGCUCAACCUGGGAACUGCAUUUGUGACUGCAAGGCUAGAGUACGGCAGAGGGGGAUGGAAUUCCGCGUGUAGCAGUGAAAUGCGUAGAUAUGCGGAGGAACACCAAUGGCGAAGGCAAUCCCCUGGGCCUGUACUGACGCUCAUGCACGAAAGCGUGGGGAGCAAAC
rnacentral:rRNA from 1 species